rfam:Triticum aestivum genome assembly, contig: Triticum_aestivum_CS42_TGACv1_scaffold_343775_4DL
UUAAUACUCCCUCCGUCCCAAAAUAAGUGUCGCUGAUUUAGUACAAAGUUAGUACUCCCUAGUGUCAAAAAUGAUCUUAUAUUUUGGGACGGAGGGAGUACUAACUUUAUACUAAAUCAGCGACACUUAUUUUGGGAAGGAGGGGGUACAAG